AACUGCAUAAUCGCAAACACACAUAUCGCUAUGAUCAUUGUUCCACUUUUAAAUGGGUAGGUGACUCUCUGACCUUUGAAAACGCUUUUGCUUUAACAACGAGACACUGCAACAAGAAACUUGCACGGAGACGAAUCGAUGCUUUCGCUUACAUUACCAAUCUCAACAUGUUGCUAUCGUCUUGCGCUGAACGCAUGCGCAGUAGCUCGCCUCGGUUGUUGGCAGGGCUCUGACGUCACAACAUGGCGACUCCGCCUGAGAUAUGGGGCGUAUUCCCUACCAAUUUAACUACAACGUUUGUGUAGCGCCAUUAAAGUAAUGAAACGUUCGUAGAACCAGUGAGACAAAGCGAACCCGUAAGGGGAUAUUGGGUCAUCUUGGUCAACACUUAAUCAAAGAAAGAUGUUUUCGCUGAAGGUUUGCGAACGGAAUUCAGAGUUUAGAGCCCAAAACCACAACUACCGAUGAUUUAGCAAAUAAAAUUGAGGAUACUGAAGAGACCAGUCAUUUGAGCACAAAUAUUUCGAGCUGAUAUGAAGCUACAAAUUGAUGAGGCUAUGGUGAGAAUGGAAUUUUGAAAUCAGGAUACCAUACGCCAGUGCAAGUCAACAAGUCAGGAAAUGUAGGGGAAAUGGGACUGGCUACGAGUUAAAGCAGGGACAAUAUCUUUUUGGAUGACCUUAAAUACACGGAAGGUGGAAUGUGCGAGGCAAACCAGGAAUGUUCUAAUCGUUAAGGUUGGCGAAAACAAAGACAUAAAUGAGGGCGUUUGCAGCCGAUGAGUCAGAUGUUAGAGGUGGAUUGUGUAGCCUUAAUGAUGUCGUGCAUAUGAGGUCAAAAAUUCAUUUUUGACAUAAACGUGAUGGCAAAGUUGAGAAACGCAAAGCUUAAUCACUGACUGCUUUCAGGAUAAUGAGAGAAUAGGUCGCUCGGGAGUGGAGUUUGGACCAAGGUAUGAAAACUGGAGGGCGGGGACCGGAAGCGGUCAGGUAGGACCUGGAGAGAGAACCUCCCAGUCGCAUUCCUUAGACGACAUGUCCAUCCUGGGCCUCCUGCAGUGCCACAAUGAUGCCACCCGAAGGUUUCAGGAACAGCAACUCAUAUUCCGCUUGGGAACCCUACAGCCCAAUAGUAUCAAUGUGGAUUUCACAAGCUUCAAAAUCUCCCCUCCCCUCACUGCAUCCCAAAACCAGCCCAGCUCAUCCUUGCCUCCCAAACCUGUCCUUCCUCUCACCUACCCCUCCUCCCACCUCAAGCCAAACCUCCAUUUCCUACCUACUAAUUUCAUCCUGCCCCCUUGAUCUGUCCAUCCUCCACGGACUGACCUAUCCCCUCCCUCAGCACGUAAGCAUCUUAUGCAGCUGCAUCUGGCACUCUCAAAAGGCUAAUGGCAGAAGCCCAACUAUCAACUACUCGAACAGUACCAGCUCCCUUCUCCUCAGCCACUUGCCUCUGCAAAACGGGGAGGUAUGGAUAUUGGGACCUAACUGAUAAGAGGCGAGACCUCCAACAUAGGGCCACUGUGAGUGAAAGAUCCGUUCCAUUAACCGAAGUAAGCACCAUUGCCUCGGGAGGUUCAGGCUCUCACAUUAAUUGUAAUGACAUCUACAGUCUCCUUCCUCAAUAGUUUUGCACACAUUGCCAGCAGCGGAUAACGUGCCAAGCCUAUACUGAUUUCUAUCUCUUGCCAAGUCUGCAAGGAGAGAUGCUGCCAGACCUGCUGAGAUUUUCCAGUAAUUUCUGUUUUUGACGCAAGAAACAUCGUUUCGUGGAAACAAUGAGAGCAAAUUAAUAGGAUUAUUAGAAUAGCUGCAGGGACCACAGAAGUUCUCAGACAGGCCUGGAAAAAGUGAAGGUGAAGCCUCACUUCAUGGAAAAAGCCAAAUGAGUCCAAAACAGAAGCUGGAGAAUUUGAGCAGGUUCAGGGAAAAACUGUUCCCAAAACAAAAGGAAAAAGGAAGGGAACAUUCUCCAAGCAGACACCUCUCGUGGAGAUUACAGGGGCAUAUCAUCACGUUCAAACCAGAGUUACCCACUGGGAGAUCAAAGAAAUGAGCCAAGUUUCAAAACUCAUAGUUAAAUCAGUUUAAUGUGAGUGACAUGUAAGAUACACAUCCAAAUCCAUAUACAACCUGUAAUGAAAUUUGGAAGAAUGACUGAUUCAGACACAUGGAUAUAGUUGAAAGGAAGUGGAAAUGUUCCUUGUUAAGGCAUCGAAUGCGACAAGUAAUGAAAAUGAACUGUGCACCAGGACAAAUUUGAGAUAGCACAAGGUGGUGUCGAUGGAGAGCAAGAUGACAGUGUGCACUUGAUGGCAUUGAAUGUGGAUCUAAAACUAUCCGAGGAGUAUUCUGAAGAAAUUCCAAAGAAGAGUCUUUGGACUUGAAAUACUAACUCUGUUUCACUCUCCACAGAUGCUGCCUGGCCUACUGAUUUUCUCUGGUGUUUACUGUUUUUAUUCCAGAUUUCCAGCAUCUGCAGUAUUUUCCUUUCACUUAGAUUUAGAUUCACAAAGUUUAGACAAAGAGAGUGAAUAUGGAAUGUCAGUGCAUUGUGAUUUCAUUUGACCUUGUAAUGGAACUGAAAACAAGAAGGGCAAGUAUUGUGAAGUGUCUCUUUUUUUUCUGGAUGGGCAAUGUCACAGUGAUAUAAAUACAGACUAUUAUCUUUGAAUUCCAAUGUCUGAUUUAAUACCUUGGAUUUUCAUAGACUGAAAUGACUUUAAGUAGGGACUAAAAUCACUAACUUAAAAUGGCCACAGGCAAUAGCUGACCUACAAGUUGGCCACAUUUCAUGAAACAAAAGAUUUAAGAGGCAGUCUGAGCUGAAAUGAACAUGUUUCUCUGAGGCAUAUGAACCCCACCCUCCUUUCCAAACUCUGGAAAACAAUAGUUUUCAAAAAUAUUCAGAAGGCCCUCAUCUCCUAUCAGAUUUGCACCAUCAUCAGAAUCGGCACAUGCUAGGAAUGAAACAUAAUCUGCAUUUGUAAGAGUCCAUUAAUACUGUACAACCAGAUUGUAUUUCAAACAGCAUCUUGUGUCAAAAAAGUAAAGGAGAUGGAUUGUUGACUGCAGAACUAAUAAAAGGCUAUCUCUUCAUCUCAAGAAGAAAAACUAGUGACAACACUAGUUGAAAAGAAAUAUCAAGAAACCAAGAACUGCAAUAUUAAUUACUGCUCAUAGUCCCUGAAACCAGUUGUGGUCAGUUAAGAACUUGUGCUUCAAAGCAUAUAUAUUUUUAUCUUUUAAUACUGGGCACCAUCCCUUCAUAAAAACCAAAAGAACUGUGGAUGCUGUAAAUCAGGAAUAAAAA